AGUGAACGCUGGCGGUAUGCCUAACACAUGCAAGUCGAACGGCAGCACAGUAAGAGCUUGCUCUUACGGGUGGCGCGUGGCGGACGGGUGAGUAAUACACCGGAAUCUACUUUUUCGGGGGGGCUAACGUAGGGAAACGUACGCUAAUACCGCAUACGACCUACGGGUGAGAGCAGGGGAUCUUCGGACCUUGCGCGAUUGAAUGAGCCUAUGUCGGAUGAGCUCGUUGGCGGGGUAAAGGCCCAGCACGGCGACGAUCCGUAGCUGGUCUGAGAGGAAGAACAGACAGACUGGAACUGAGAAAGGUCCCAGACUCCUACAGGAGGCAGCAGUGGGGAAUAUUGCACGAGGGGCGAAAGCCUGAUCCAGCCAUACCGGCUGGGGGAAGAAGGACUUCGGGUUGUAAAGCCAUUUUGUUGGGAAAGAAAAGCAGCAGGUUAAUCCCCCGCUGUUCUGACGGUACCCAAAGAAUAAGCACCGGCUAACUUCGUG
rnacentral:rRNA from 1 species